rnacentral:rRNA from 1 species
AACUAACGCUGGCGGCGUGCCUAACACAUGCAAGUCGAACGAGAAAGUUGGCUUCGGCCGAUGAGUAAAGUGGCGCACGGGUGAGUAACGCGUGGAUAAUCUGCCCUUAAGUUCGGAAUAACGUACCGAAAGGUGCGCUAAUACCGGAUAAUACUGAGUGACUACUGUUGCUUAGUCAAAGAAGGCUUCUGUUUACAUGCUUUUGCUGAAGGAUGAGUCCGCGUACCAUUAGCUGGUUGGUGGGGUAAUGGCCUACCAAGGCUACGAUGGUUAGCUGGUCUGAGAGGAUGAUCAGUCACACUGGAACUGAGACACGGUCCAGACUCCUACGGGAGGCAGCAGUGAGGAAUCUUGCGCAAUGGGGGAAACCCUGACGCAGCAACGCCGCGUGAGUGAGGAAGGCCUUCGGGUCGUAAAGCUCUGUCGGGUGGAAAGAAACGCAUGGGUGCUAAUACCAUCUAUGCUUGACGGUACCGCCAAAGGAAGCACGGCUAACUCCG